rnacentral:rRNA from 1 species
GUCUACGGCCAUGCCACCCUGAACAAACCUGAUCUCGUCUGAUCUUGGAAGCUAAGCAUGGUCGGGCCUGGUUAGUACUUGGAUAGGAGACCACCUAGGAAGACCAGGUGCUGUAGGCG